ensembl:snRNA U1 U1 spliceosomal RNA
AUACUAACCUGGCAGGGGAAAUACCAUGAUCAAGGUGGUUUUCCCAGGGCGCGGCUUAUUCAUUGCACUCUGAUGUGCUGACCUCAGCGAUUUCCCCAAAUGUGGGAAACUUGACUGCAUAAUUUGGGUAGUGGGGGACUGUAUUCACGCUUUUCCCUG